AUUUGGGCAAAGAGUAUUCAACACAGCAACUGCUCCUUUUUAAUGAGCACAGUUUUUACAAACUAUGUUCCCUACCCUGCUUACCUCUCUAAAUCCAACCUCUCCUCUAAGGUGCUACCAGCUGUACCUGCCGCGGGCUGAACCGGGCUUUCCAGCACUCAGAUGCCUCCUGCAUCUGCCAGGCAGGUUACGUCUACUACGAUGAGAGGGGCAGGGAAGACCCUGACAGCAACAGCGAUCAGGACUGCCAACCUCAGGUGGACGAGCAGUGUGCUCCUGGAGAGGUCCGUCUGGCAUCUACGCGCCAGUGCGUUUUUCCUGACCGAUAUGACUGCUCUCCUUCUUGUGGGCCUGCAGGUGGAGAGAUUAACGCAGAGCUGGGCAUAUGUCACUGCAAGCAGUAUGUCUCUGCUGAGGAGCUCUGUGAUCAGCUGUGUGUGCUGAGAGCCCCACAGAUCUCCUUGGGAUUUGGCAUCAAUCGAAAGCUGCUUCUGAGGAUGAAUGAAGGAGAAGUGAGGGAAGUGCCAAACGUUCUGGGCCCGGAUGAACACGUGCAGAAAAGCCAGCGGGUGCGUUUGGUUCUGUUUAGUCCCAGCGGAGUGCUAGGUUUCAUUGUCUCCAGCACAGAUGUUCUGGAUGCGUUUCUCACGGGAGAUUUUUCGUCAGACCAGUUGCUGCAGAAGGGUCGUCGAGUCCAGAGGGCUUCCUCCAAAGGUAUCCAGGCCUUGCCCCUUGUUCCUAACCCAGUAGUAUGUUUGGAAGCAGGAGACACGAUCCUUUUCCAGCUUCACGUCGAUUCCCACAAUCGCGCAUCCAGCCAUUACCCUGUUUAUCAGAAGCAGCAUCUAUAUAACAGCAACCCAAGCUGGGAUUUUGGAGCCUUCCGAAGGCUAGACCACCUCAUCCAGGAGACUCACCUCAACAUCUCCUGGUUCGCCCAUGUUUUCCUGGAGUCUGGGACGUAUGUUUUCAGGGAUAGGACCAUUCAGGAACAUUUCCUCAUUGUGACGGUGAAUGAAGCAAAUGUGGGCUGUGACCCCAGAGAUGUGUCCUUCCAGCCCUCUUCUCUGUUCCAGCUGGCCAGACAUGGAGUUUUGAAGCAACAGGAUCUGAACUUGGCUCCUAACUGGGCUGCUAUCACAGUGGUCCUCUUUGUUCUGGGCUUCCUAACUGUGGUGCUGACAACUCUGGGUAUAGUGCUCCAGCCUACUGUCCCCAUCAUUAGUCCCCUGGAGAGCUGGAAGCCAAGGUGGAGGAGCCUGGGCGAGCCACAUGUCCCACCAGAGUGCAUCCUCCUUAAAGACAGCCUGCAGUUCUAUCAGACAGUUGGCCCUCGUGGUUCUGGAGAAGAUGCUGGCUUGGGAGAGAAAGGAGCUGUGCAUAAUGCAGAAGGGCGUCCUGCACUGAAGGUUCUGGAGGAUUUCAGUGUUCGCACCCUGUAUGAUAAGCUGGAAGAUCAGAAUUUGCACCUGGCAUCUCAGCUGGCAAAGCACAGGACGGACGUGCUGGUGUUUUACAACGGAAUCAGCCAGUGCAUCCAGAGUCUCAUGAACACGGUGCAAGCGCUGGACUCUGAAGGCCUGAAAAUCUUUUCCAGGCAAAGGAUUUGUUGGCAUAAACAUGGAGAUAGCAGCUGGGCAGCAGCAGGUGUUGAGCAAUGUGAUGAAUGUAGUAACAACUUCCAAGCAGGUGCUCCCUGGCAAGAGGCAAGAGAGUUAAUGAAAGCUCUGGAAAUGCUGCUUGGGAACGCUCGGUACAAGAAUGUAACUGUGAAACGAGAGAUGGAACAGAAGCUCCAAGGACAGGACGUGGUGGCAGUUGCACCCUCACUGGACAGCUUAGCCAGUGAAAGUGAAUCACAAGUAGUGGAAGGGCAGGAUCAUGAGCUGCCUCAGCAGUGUGAGCUCUUCAGUAGGAAAGACGUGUUGUUCAGCUUCCCUGGACAUGAAGAACAUGGUUUAGAUCUUCAGCUGGCUUACCUGACUGAGUUGGAGGUGGAGGCCCUGAUAGCAGCUUCCCCCCUUGCCAAGACCCUGUGUGAGAUCAAGCAAGCUUUGGUGAAUCUGCAGCAACCCUCAGACCUCGUAAAUCCAGGUAACAAAUCUUGAGGCUGUAUUGCAGUUUCUGGCUCCUUGUAAUGGAGAAGAAGUAAGAUUACAAAAUGGGAGGGAGACAAGUUGUCUCUCAUCCGUGGUGCCCCAAUAAAAUGCACACACAGAUGUCUGCUGCUGAGCA
ensembl:lncRNA